GACGAACGCUGGCGGCGUGCUUAACACAUGCAAGUCGAACGGGCCUGUCUUCUUUUUUGGGGGUGGGUUGAGUGGCGAACGGGUGAGUAUCACGUGAGUAACCUGCCCUUCGGUCCUGGAUAACCGCUUGAAAGGGCGGCUAAUACGGGGUGGUCCGGUUGGUCCGCAUGGGCUGGUCGGGAUAGAUUCACUGUUUUUGGUGUUUCGGCGGGGGAUGGGCUCGCGGCCUAUCAGCUUGUUGGUGGGGUGAUGGCCUACCAAGGCGGUGACGGGUAGCCGGCCUGAGAGGGUGGGCGGCCACACUGGGACUGAGAUACGGCCCAGACUCCUGCGGGAGGCAGCAGUGGGGGGUAUUGCACAAGGGGCGGAAGCCUGAUGCAGCGACGUCGCGUGAGGGAUGGAGGCCUUCGGGUUGUGAACCUCUGUUUCCGGUGGUGAAGGCCCUGUCCGUGUGGUGGGGUUGACGGUAGCCGGGGAUGAAGCGCCGGCUAACUACGUG
rnacentral:rRNA from 1 species